AAGAUUAACAAUUAAGGCUUCUAACCUAAUAAAAAUGAGUUCUCAUUUAAUCUUU
rnacentral:tRNA from 1 species